rnacentral:rRNA from 1 species
CACGUAGGGCGCGAGCGUUGUCCGGAAUUAUUGGGCGUAAAGAGCUCGUAGGCGGCGUGUUGCGUCCGCUGUGAAAGCCCGGGGCUUAACCCCGGGUCGGCAGUGGAUACGGGCAGGCUAGAGGUAGGUAGGGGAGAAUGGAAUUCCCGGUGUAGCGGUGAAAUGCGCAGAUAUCGGGAGGAACACCGGUGGCGAAGGCGGUUCUCUGGGCCUUACCUGACGCUGAGGAGCGAAAGCGUGGGGAGCGAACAGG